rnacentral:rRNA from 1 species
ACUCAAAUGAAUUGACGGGGACCCGCACAAGCGGUGGAUCAUGUGGUUUAAUAUGACGGUACGCGUAGAACCUUACCGAGGCUUGACAUCCUGCGAAUCCGCUGGAAACAGUGGAGUGCCGCAAGGAGCGCAGUGACAGGUGCUGCAUGGCCGUCGUCAGCUCGUGUCGUGAGAUGUUGGGUUAAGUCCCGCAACGAGCGCAACCCUUGUCGUAUGUUGAAUAUUUCAUGCGAGACUGCCCGGGCCAACCGGGAGGAAGGUGGGGUCGAAGUCAGGUCGGCAUGGCCCUUACGCCUCGGGCCACACACGUGAUACAAUGGCCGGCACAACGCGCCGCUAAGCCGCAAGGCGGAGCUAAUCGCAUCAAAACCGGUCCCAGUUCGGAUAGGAGGCUGCAACUCGCCUUCUUGAAGUCGGAAUCGCUAGUAAACGUGGGUCAGCACACCACGUUGAAUACGUUCCCGGGUCUUGCACACACCGCCCGU